AAUGAACGUUGGCGGCAUGGAUUAGGCAUGCAAGUCGAGCGAGAAGUGUAGCAAUACACGGAAAGCGGCGGAAGGGAGAGUAAUACGUGGGAAUCUGCCCUUAGACCUGGGAUAGCAGCGGGAAACUGCUGGUAAUACCAGAUAAUGUCUAUGGACCAAAGGUGUGAUUCCGUCUAGGGAUGAGCCAACAUCCUAUUAGCUAGUUGGUAGGGUAAGGGCCUGCCAAGGCGAUGAUGGGUAGCGGGUGUGAGAGCAUGACCCGCCUCACUGGGACUGAGACACUGCCCAGACACCUACGGGUGGCUGCAGUCGAGAAUCUUCGGCAAUGGGCGCAAGCCUGACCGAGCGAUGCCGCGUGCGGGAUGAAGGCCUUCGGGUUGUAAACCGCUGUCGAGGGGGAGCAACUUCCAUAGAGUUAUCUUUAUGGAUUGAGUGAUCCCUGGAGGAAGGACGGGCUAAGUUCGUGCCAGCAGCCGCGGUAAGAC
rnacentral:rRNA from 1 species